rnacentral:rRNA from 1 species
UGAGAAAUCAAACAAAAACUUUCAACAACGGAUCUCUUGGUUCUGGCAUCGAUGAAGAACGCAGCGAAAUGCGAUAAGUAAUGUGAAUUGCAGAAUUCAGUGAAUCAUCGAAUCUUUGAACGCACAUUGCGCCCCCUGGUAUUCCGGGGGGCAUGCCU